AGUGCAAGGGCAGUCAGACUGCCUCAGACACAACACCCAGAAAUCUUCUAAAGCAGCUGUUGAUGUGUCGGCACGAGGCAACUCACGGAGGCAUACCAAGUACCUAUGACAAGUAAGACCGGAGGAGAGGACCAGACAGCAUGGAGACCCCCUACAAAUUAGAAAGCCGAUGGAGAUGAUUAAAUGACCCUGCGUAUAGUGCGGUUAGACACUAUAACUCCGGUUCUGCGGCAUCUCACCACACAGGAAACAUGUCUCCACUGGCAACCACGUGAGCUGGGGAUUAUUUGUUUAUUUACUGCGUCUGUCUGCUGAGAAUAAACUACGCCUCAGGGACUCCUGUGUUCCAGGCUACCUUGUAGUUCAUCAGCCACAGGCAUGAGCCCGAACUGAACUUUAAGGAAUACGUUUGAUCAGCACCUUGCUUCCCUUUGGCUUGGCUUCUGUGAUAACCCACGAGGCCAAGACUCAGCCUAAAGCCAGUGAGAUGAGAAGAAUUGCUCUGUCACAUUUUGGAGAAGGGUGUCUGCUGCUUCCAGCCAGACCACGCCCCCAACCUCCAACCCCUGCAAGACAGACAUCUAUACACUGCCAGCAUUAUCUUGUGACCAUAAGGAAAGAUAUCCCUGGAGGAAAGCAGUCACAACAGACACAGACGAGAGAGGCAGAGAUAAGCAAAACCGUUGGCGAGCCACUGGCCACCUGACCCACCUCUGUAACGUCUCAGUUGCCUAAGCUAAUAAAGACCUUACUGUUUUAGCUAA
ensembl:antisense Gm16226 predicted gene 16226